rnacentral:rRNA from 1 species
CAGCCGCCGCGGUAAUACAGAGGAUGCAAGCGUUAUCCGGAAUGAUUGGGCGUAAAGCGUCUGUAGGUGGCUUUUCAAGUCCGCCGUCAAAUCCCAGGGCUCAACCCUGGACAGGCGGUGGAAACUACCAAGCUGGAGUACGGUAGGGGCAGAGGGAGUUUCCGGUGGAGCGGUGAAAUGCGCAGAUACCGGGAGGAACGCCGAUGGCGAAGGCAGCCACCUGGUCCACUUCUGACGCUGAGGCGCGAAAGCGUGGGGAGCGAACAGGAUUAGAUACCCCCGUAGUCCCUGUCUCUAUACA